CUGUUUCUGCUUUUAAUUUCAAAAUACAGUUUUUUUUUUUGUCCCUUGCAGGCCCUCCCUAUCUGAAGAUUCGCUGACAUCUCUAAAAACAACCACCGGUGAGGCUAUAUGAGGUCCAAAACCAUCUCAGUGUUUUGACAUCAGAGCACAGCGGGCUUCAGGAACACGUGGCAGAGGUACAGACUAGAAACCGACUUCUGAAACAAGAAUAUGAUUCUCUGCUGGAGCAGCACCAGAACAUGGAGAGGACGUACCGACAAGAGAAACUCCGCAGCUCAGAGAUCCUGGACAACAUGAUCGGUCCAAAACAGCAGGCUGCUGUCCGCAUGAACCAUCGCAAUGAGAAGAGAGUGAGAGCCAGAGAGGCCAGUCUUCACAAAGAGCUUCAGAUGGCUGCCAGUAAGAAUGUGAAUAUUCAUGAAGAGUCAGGAAAUGUGUCACCUCCCAAGCCAUCAUCCCCUAAAAGUGACUCUUCACAGAGGUUGGAGAGAUCCCAUGGGCCACUUUUCAGGUCUGCUUCAGCUACAUCUCCCCGCAUCAUCAGCUCCAUCAGAGGACUUUUUGAGUAAGUCGCUGAAAGCUCUUUAAGUGCUGAUGAAUCACUGUAUAGCAUAAGUUGUGAUUGUCUGAAUUUUUUUAAGGCAUUUCACAGGGGAAUGUGAAGGGGAACGUUAUUUUUAAUGCUGACAUGUUAGUGUACAUGUACAUAGGUGUACAUAAAAAAGAUUAUGUAGAAAUUGUAAUAAAAGUGAGCAGUGCUUUUUAAAAUUAGAAAUA
rnacentral:lncRNA from 1 species